ACUCUUUUAGUUUAUUAUUAAAACACAACUCUGAAGAAGUUGAGAAAGAUAGGAGUG
rnacentral:tRNA from 1 species